GACGAACGCUGGCGGCGUGCCUAAUACAUGCAAGUAGAACGCUGAAGAGAGGAGCUUACUCUUCUUGGAUGAGUUGCGAACGGGUGAGUAACGCGUAGGUAACCUGCCUUGUAGCGGGGGAUAACUAUUGGAAACGAUAGCUAAUACCGCAUAACAAUGGAUGACACAUGUCAUUUAUUUGAAAGGGGCAAUUGCUCCACUACAAGAUGGACCUGCGUUGUAUUAGCUAGUAGGUGAGGUAAUGGCUCACCUAGGCGACGAUACAUAGCCGACCUGAGAGGGUGAUCGGCCACACUGGGACUGAGACACGGCCCAGACUCCUACGGGAGGCAGCAGUAGGGAAUCUUCGGCAAUGGGGGCAACCCUGACCGAGCAACGCCGCGUGAGUGAAGAAGGUUUUCGGAUCGUAAAGCUCUGUUGUAAGUUAAGAACGGGUGUGAGAGUGGAAAGUUCACACUGUGACGGUAGCUUACCAGAAAGAGACGGCUAACUACGUG
rnacentral:rRNA from 1 species